CAAUGUAGAUGUGCAACUUGGU
rnacentral:piRNA from 1 species